rnacentral:rRNA from 1 species
UACGGAGGAGGCAAGCGUUAUCCGGAAUUAUUGGGCGUAAAGCGUCCGUAGGUGGCUAGUCAAGUCUGCGGUCAAAGACUGGGGCUUAACCCUGGAAAGGCCGUGGAAACUGACGAGCUAGAGUGCAGUAGGGGUAGAGGGAAUUCCCGGUGUAGCGGUGAAAUGCGUAGAGCCCGGGAAGAACAUCGGUGGCGAAAGCGCUCUACUGGACUGCAACUGACACUCAGGGACGAAAGCUAGGGGAGCGAAUGGG